GAAGUUCAGCUUUGGGCGAGAGUUGAGCCAAAGGGCGCUCGCAGGCUCAGUCGCGGGAAGGCGGGCGAGCGCGAGCGGCAGACCUUCCUGUCGGGGGCGGAAGGCAGACCGACGGGCUGCUCGUUGGCGCAAAGCGAUGCGGCUCUGGAAUUCGGGCCAGCCCGACUGAAAUGAAUGGCACUUUCCUUCCGAGCGAAACGCUCGCACGGUGGCCUACUCGGAAAUGAAGCCACAUUUGGUGAAGAAGAAAAGAGACAAGGAUGCUUCUUUGAUACAGUGAUGACUUAUCAACCCCAGCCUCCUCCCUGCCAUGACCCAACCGAGCCCCCAACUUGUUCCCUUUCCUCCUCUCCAAGGCCAGUUUACAAGUUUGGAAAGAAAGUUGGUGCAGUUCUUUCCACGCCAGGUAACCCAUAGUACAAUCCUAACAAGGUUUGCUGGCUGGAGGGCAUUAUGAAAAAGCAGAUCCCCUUCUCCACCUGGUAGAAAGAACCCUCUUUCAGACUACACCAGAGCCACUCAGCAGAUCUCUUCCAUGCACCAACCCAGCACUCAGCUGGC
rnacentral:lncRNA from 1 species